AAGUCGUAACAAGGUUUCCGUAGGUGAACCUGCGGAAGGAUCAUUAUUGAAUUGUUUGCUUGGAUCGGCUUAAAACCCCGGUCUGGCAUCCAUAUCCAUCACACCUGUGCACUGUUGGACGACUGGAGCUCUCAAGCUUUGGAAGUCCUCUUUUACACCAAACCAUUAGUAACAAAUGUAGUCUUAUUAUAAAAUAAUAAAACUUUCAACAACGGAUCUCUUGGUUCUC
rnacentral:misc_RNA from 1 species